UAACCUAACUUUUAAUUGACAGAAAUCAGCUGACAAAGAUUUUUCCUAUAAACCCUCAUUAUUUAAUUUACUAGUUCCAAUAAAACAAAUACUUUACAGGGUUUGGUGUAUUCCCUUUUACAAUUAGAUCAUUAUAUAUAAAAGCAUAGAUAUGGUGAGGGGGAUGUUCACAUUCUUUGUUGGCGUUUAUGCAGGAAUUUACAUAAGCCAGAAUUAUAAUGUACCCAGAGUCGAUGAUCCACAGGCCCUUUUAGACAAAAUAAAAGACUUUGCCGACAAGCAUAGGAAAUCCUAAUAAACCUUUUUAUUGUUUAGUUAUUAAAUAAACCAUAAGUGUA
rnacentral:lncRNA from 1 species